ACACACCGCCCGUCGCUACUACCGAUUGAAUGGUUAAGCUGAGGUAAUCGGAUUGGUACUGUUUUAGCGGCUCUGUCGCUUGACUGGUAUCGAAAAGAUGACCAAACUUAAUCAUUUAGAGGAAGUAAAAGUCGUAACAAGGUUUCCGUAGGUGAACCUGCGGAAGGAUCAUU
rnacentral:rRNA from 1 species